AACGAACGCUGGCGGCGUGGAUAAGACAUGCAAGUCGCGCGGAACAUUGCUGGUAGCAAUAUUAGCAAUGUUUAGCGGCAAACGGGUGCGUAACACGUAGCUCACCUACCUUCGAGUGGGGAUAACUCCGAGAAAUCGGAAUUAAUACCGCAUGUGGUUGUAAGACCAAAGCCGGGGACCGUAAGGCCUGGCGCUUGAAGAUGGGGCUGCGGCCUAUCAGCUAGUUGGCGGGUAACGGCCACCAAGCGAUGACGGUAGCUGGUCUGAGAGGACGACCAGCC
rnacentral:rRNA from 1 species